CCUACGGGGUGCUGCAGUGAGGAAUAUUGGUCAAUGGGCGCUAGCCUGAACCAGCCAAGUAGCGUGAAGGAUGACUGCCCUAUGGGUUGUAAACUUCUUUUAUAUGGGAAUAAAGUGCAGUAUGUAUACUGCUUUGCAUGUACCUUAUGAAUAAGGAUCGGCUAACUCCGUGCCAGCAGCCGCGGUAAUACGGAGGAUCCGAGCGUUAUCCGGAUUUAUUGGGUUUAAAGGGAGCGUAGGCGGGUUGUUAAGUCAGUUGUGAAAGUUUGCGGCUCAACCGUAAAAUUGCAGUUGAUACUGGCAGCCUUGAGUACAGUAGAGGUAGGCGGAAUUCGUGGUGUAGCGGUGAAAUGCUUAGAUAUCACGAAGAACUCCGAUUGCGAAGGCAGCCUGCUGGACUGUAACUGACGCUGAUGCUCGAAAGUGUGGGUAUCAAACAGGAUUAGAUACCCGGGUAGUC
rnacentral:rRNA from 1 species